CGAAGAGGGAUUUGCGGUCUUCGAGGUAACUUUUGGGGUUUCCGUCCUAGGAAGCUGUCUCUCUUCUUACCGGGGCCAAUCUCCGAGGUGACCUCAGGGUAACCUAUGCUAAAUGGCUAACCUGAGAUCAGAUACACCAAAGCCGGUCACCUGACCAAUCAGAUCACCGGCAAACUAGUCUCAUUGUACAGGAUCCUGACUGGGCCAAAAGGGUUUAGUGUAACGAACCAAGCCAAUAAAACACGAGAUGAAUCGUUUCCAUGAAAGACCAAAUGAGAUGGACAAGGGGGAAGAAAGGUUGUGGCACCGGAUACAAAACCAAACGAGUCACUGCGGGGGACUUGUGCUCAUCAUGUCUGUAGACCAGUGGAGACAGCGGCCUGGUCAACACAGAUUUCUGCUCUGGAUCAUACUGAGCAAAGUCAAAGGGACACACUGAGCUGGACUCAAGGACUGCAGAGAGGCCUAAUCACAGAAACAUCUCCCUGCUAAGAGCACUCUGCUGCAACUGUUGCUUUUCAAUGAUGUGCAUUCCUCUGAAUUGAGAUGUGUGUUAUAAUGUAGCCGAUCAUUCAUUAACUAUAAGUAUAUGAAUGGUU